GAUGAACGCUGGCGGCGUGCUUAACACAUGCAAGUCGAACGAAGCAUUUGCGACAGAUUUUUUCGGAAUGAAGUUGCUUAUGACUGAGUGGCGGACGGGUGAGUAACGCGUGGGUAACCUGCCUUGUACUGGGGGAUAGCAGCUGGAAACGGCUGGUAAUACCGCAUAAGCGCACAAUGUUGCAUGACAUGGUGUGAAAAACUCCGGUGGUAUAAGAUGGACCCGCGUCUGAUUAGCUAGUUGGUGAGAUAACAGCCCACCAAGGCGACGAUCAGUAGCCGACCUGAGAGGGUGACCGGCCACAUUGGGACUGAGACACGGCCCAGACUACUACGGGAGGCAGCAGUGGGGAAUAUUGCACAAUGGAGGAAACUCUGAUGCAGCGACGACGCGUGAGUGAAGAAGUAAUUCGUUAUGUAAAGCUAUAUCAGCAGGGAAGAUAGUGACGGUACCUGACUAAGAAGCUCCGGCUAAAUACGUG
rnacentral:rRNA from 1 species